rnacentral:rRNA from 1 species
UACGUAGGGUGCGAGCGUUAAUCGGAAUUACUGGGCGUAAAGCGUGCGCAGGCGGUUUGUUAAGACAGAUGUGAAAUCCCCGGGCUUAACCUGGGAAUGGCAUUGGUGACUGCACGGCUAGAGUGUGUCAGAGGGGGGUAGAAUUCCACGUGUAGCAGUGAAAUGCGUAGAGAUGUGGAGGAAUACCGAUGGCGAAGGCAGCCCCCUGGGAUAACACUGACGCUCAUGCACGAAAGCGUGGGGAGCAAACAGG